GCAUUUAGAAUCUAAAGAAGGACAGAAAGCAUUAAGCCAAUUAUCUGUUGAAAAGGGAAAAAUACGUGUAGCAACAGACAUUUGAGUAAACUGCUACUGACAGCCUGAUGAGGAAUAAAUGGCCUUUAGUUUGAUGGAAAUCUUGGAGGCUUCGUGGAAAAGUUGGCUAGCUUCUACUGGAUAUGGUUGGGUCCCCUGACCAGGAUCUCCAGGAAGCUGCAGCUGGUUGUAUAUCCAAUAUCCGCAGGCUGGCUCUUGCUACAGAGAAGGCAAGAUACACUUGAAAUUUAAAUGGACAUUACAAGCUAUCAAAUUCUACAUGACACAGGACAUGUCACUCCCAUGGCCAGAAAGCCUAAAUUGGGAAACAGUUGUUAGCAAACCCUUUCAACCAUCUAAAUGAAAACACACAAAUUGAAAAUGCACAGAAUGUUUUUCAUCUGAAAAUUGCAUGGAGACUUUUGUUUCUAUUUAAUGUUUUCGAGAUAUGACAUGUGAUAAGAUGGAAAGCCAAUAAACCUGUGAUAAGUUUCUAAGAAUAUGAGAAUAUACGUAUAUGAUGUAUUUUUAGUUCAGUGAUGCUUUUGUAUUUGUGGCGAUUUUAAUAAAAAGGAUAUGGCCUUCCC
rnacentral:lncRNA from 10 species